ACGCAAAUGAUCAAGAGCCUAUCUAAAGCCAAUGUUUGGUUUGUCCGUUCUGGGCUACUGUAGAAACAUGGGGGCCGGCUCCGUAAAGAGGACCCUCUCCGUAUGUAGAUAUAAACGACUUAUUCUAAGGUAACGACAACGAUUCUUAUUUUCAGAGAAUUGAAAACAUUCUUAUUAAUAUUAUAUUCCAUUUCUGCCAAUA